GAAUGAGAUCAUGCUAAAAGUCAAAACUAAUGAACCUUAUGUGCACAUAACAAAAACAGAAGGUUACUACAGGUAGAAUCUAAGUAAACUAAAGGGGGGAAUCAUUAAUUCAAAUCUAUUAAUUUUUCUUUAAAAAGCAUGGGAAGAGAAAAUUGAAAUAAAAAUCUCAGUGGACCUUUUUUUGUUUUUCUAUUCUGAUAAUUCCAAUGAAUUCAAAGAAUCUUAGAGAGUAUGAAGCACUACAAAAUCAUGGACUAUAAUAUAAUGAGUUGCUGCACUGGUAAACGUGUUGAGACUAUAAUUUGUUACCAGGGCUAAUGAAUCCUUUCUCAUACUAAUGUCUGCACAAAAAAGACAUUAAAAAAAAUCUCAAUUAGAUUGAAUGACCACAUACUCCAAUUAGGUAACUACAUGAGUAGGAGCUCAGUGUGUAUAUGAUAGAGAGGCAGAGAGAUAAUAGUAAAUAUGUUGGAGAAUAGAGAUAAUAGUUGUAAUUAGAAUAAAAAAACGCAGCCUUUUGGGCUAUUGAGAUAUAAAUGAUAGCAAAUAAAGUUGGCAGUUUCAGUUGCAGCAAAUUGAACUACAGACCUUCAGUUGUAAAAAGUGAUGCUCUACCAUUGAGCUGUAGGGACUUCCGUGUCCUAUGUUUCUGUGAUAUUUUAUUGUCCAUUGAUUAAUGGGAUCUUUACAAAAGCAACAGGUUCCUAUGAGUGACAGCCAAGGAAAACUAAAUAUAAAAAUGGUUUCUGCAAUACUUUAUUCUGCCAUAGGCUAAAGGGUCCACAGACAGAUCUACGAAAUAAAAAGGCAGCCAUGUAUUACAUGGUAGCGAACACAAAAACACUAAAAAGGUCCCCAUGUAGAAUCGAACUACAGCCCUUCAGUUUUAAAGACUGACUCUCUACCAUUGAGCUAUAGGGACUUGCUUUGUAAUUCCCUAAAAUAUUUUAUUAUACCAUUGAAUGAGAACAUGCUAGAAGUCAAAACUAAAGAUCCUUAUGUAAGCAUAACAAAAACUGACGGUUCCUAUAUUAAGCUCCAGUCAGCAUAGGCAAGUCAGUAGAUGGCCAUGUGGUUAUUAUUAUUGACAGAAAUUUCUAUCAGUUUUCUGUCAGUAAUUCAUAUAAAAAUAGCAUCUAAUAAUAAUAGAGAAGGCUUGUAACUGAAAUCCAUUAUCAGAAUUAAUACAA
rnacentral:misc_RNA from 1 species